rfam:Gossypium raimondii Chr02_contig_1454, whole genome shotgun sequence.
AUUUAAAAAUUCAUCUGUUUCUACUGUUAAAAAACUGGCGUGACUGAUAGAAUAACCAAACAGUUACAUGUGGCGUGCCACAUGUACCUCAUUCUGACGUACAAGGACCAGUUUUUAAUAGUAGAAAUAGAUGGAAUAUGUAAAA